GGAGGCGUCGCAUAGUGGACUAGUGCGGUCGUCUUGAAAACGACUAUCGCGUUUGACGCGAUCGCAGGUUCGAAUCCUGCCGCCUCCG
rnacentral:tRNA from 1 species